GGGCCCGCACAAGCGGUGGAGCAUGUGGUUUAAUUCGAUGAUACGCGAGGAACCUUACCAGGGCUUAAAUGUAGUGGGACAGGUCUAGAGAUAGACCCUUCUUCGGACUCAUUACAAGGUGCUGCAUGGUUGUCGUCAGCUCGUGCCGUGAGGUGUCAGGUUAAGUCCUAUAACGAGCGCAACCCCUACCGUUAGUUGCCAGCGUGUAAUGACGGGGACUCUAACGAAACUGCCAGUGCAAACUGUGAGGAAGGUGGGGAUGACGUCAAAUCAUCACGGCCCUUACGUCCUGGGCUACACACGUGCUACAAUGGCCGGUACAGAGAGCAGCCACUUCGCAAGAAGGAGCGAAUCUAUUAAAACCGGUCUCAGUUCGGAUCGGAGUCUGUAACUCGACUCCGUGAAGCUGGAAUC
rnacentral:rRNA from 1 species